GCUCCUCUGCAAACUCCGGCCCCGGGGGUGGGGACCGCCUCAGCUACACGCUCGGGCCCCGAAGCCGUCGCCGCGGCUGGAAGACUUGGCCCCCCGCGUGGACUUGGUGCAGCCGGCCGAGCGCUCCCACCCCGCCUCCUGAACCCUGGGACCGGUCCAACGGGCGCUCCUCCAAGCCGAGCCUUGGAGGGCAAGGCCGGCAUCAUUACCUCCAACGAGUGGAGCUCUCCGGACUCCCCCGAGGGGAGCAGCAUCUCUGGGGGCAGCCAGGCCCUGGACAAGCCCAUCGACAAUGAUGCAGAGGGUGUGUGGAGCCCGGAUAUUGAGCAAAGCUUCCAGGAGGCACUGGCUAUUUACCCACCAUGCGGCCG
rnacentral:lncRNA from 1 species